rnacentral:ncRNA from 2 species
UCAUAUCAUACGCAGUCAGGUUCUCUGCCCAGGCGGGCAGGGUGAAAAGGGAAGCCGGUGUAAAUCCGGCACGGUCCCGCCACUGUAAGCACGGAGUCACACAGCAGUGUGCCACUGUCUCUCCAUAUGGAGAAGCGGGAAGGCGCUGUGGAAUGCAAGACGUGCAAGUCAGGAGACCUGCCUUUCUGCCAAGCAAACA